rnacentral:rRNA from 1 species
CAGUAGCCAGGUAAUACAGAGGGUGCGAGCGUUAAUCGGAUUUACUGGGCGUAAAGCGUGCGUAGGCGGCUUCUUAAGUCGGAUGUGAAAUCCCUGAGCUUAACUUAGGAAUUGCAUUCGAUACUGGGAAGCUAGAGUAUGGGAGAGGAUGGUAGAAUUCCAGGUGUAGCGGUGAAAUGCGUAGAGAUCUGGAGGAAUACCGAUGGCGAAGGCAGCCAUCUGGCCUAAUACUGACGCUGAGGUACGAAAGCAUGGGGAGCAAACAGGAUUAGAUACCCCGGUAGUCCCUGUCUCUUAUACA